GCUGGGCACUGGCUCCGACAGGCCUACCUCUGCUGCUCCCCCUCCCGCACCCUACCCCUCACCGCUCCUCCACCAGCCGGCGCGGGGCCAACGGCAGGCUGUGACCCCUCAGAGGGUCAGGAAGAGCAGGAAAGGACAUUACACAUCAAAAAAUUCUGCAGUGGACUAUGAGUAGGAUGGAACAGAGCAGAACAGAACAGAAGCCAGAAUGUGCUGUGGCAUGAUGAGAAUAAAACAGUAUUUCUUGGGACUUUCAGCUGUGUCUGGGUCUUAAUGCAACGUGUAUUCCCCGCUGGGGGUGUAGUCAGAACAAUCUGAACAACACUGAGCUUGGCUUUUCCCAUGACUCUGGUACUGGAAUUAACUUCACAGUCAUUUUUUCUGACUCUUCUUACUCUCACUUAAAAGAGAGUGCGCUCCUUAGACAAAUGAGCUUUCCUGAUCUCAAACCUACAAUAAGAGGACCUAAAAG